GUAAGUCUUAUGAAUUCUAGCCACCAAUUCCACAUCAUUACAUUAUCUCCUCGUGGUUAAUCUGAACUGAUCUGGUGUUAUCCUAAACUGUAGAAGCUGGGAACUAACGGCUCCAUGGGCCGGUCUACAGAUCAAGGUCCCUGUGAAAUUCAUUGUUGGUGAUCUAGACCUUACAUAUCAUAUACCCGGAACAAAGGAGUACAUACAUGAAGGUGGUUUGAAGAAACACGUACCGUUUCUACAAGAAGUGGUGGUAAUGGAAGGUGUAGGUCACUUCCUUCAUCAAGAGAAGCCCGACGAAGUCACUGACCAUAUCUAUGGCUUCUUCAAGAAAUUCUGAACUGGCUUAAUCGAGUUCUUCUGUACAAUGACAA
rnacentral:lncRNA from 1 species